AUGACUUCCUCACCGUAUGGGAUGCUCUCCCCAGUUGUAGGACUAUUUAUGGAUGAGAUAUGGAAGCCCAUAAAGAAGCAUUGUGGUUACUGCCUCAAGCCUGGAAGAAAAGUUGAUGAUCUGGACACAUGUACACGAGGUUUAAGAGUCCACAUAGACACUAUUGUUGAGCAAAUACAAUUGGGCAAGAGACCGAGGGUUCAAACAACAAAAUGGAUACAAAGUGCCAAAUCAAUUGAAGUCAAAUCAUGUGCAAUCGUAGAUAAGUUCAAGGGAAGAAGCAAACAUAUGUUGGGUUGCUCUUGGAAUUGCUGGUUCAACUACAGGAUUGGUCGUGCUGCCAGAAAGACAAAGAAAGAAGUUGUUGAGCUCAAGGAGAGAACUCCCCAAAAUAAUGGUAUCUUCACUUUGCUCCCAUCAGUGGGCAUAGAACUGCCUCUGCCACCUAAUAUCGUGGGGCAAAACGAGUAUAUGGACAAGAUUGUUGGUUGCAUCGAAAAAGGUUCCACGCGCUUGGUUGCGAUAUGUGGCAUGGGAGGGUCUGGAAAAACUACUCUCCUUGCACAAAUAAAUAACACCUUCAGUUGCCCAACAGAAAUGCACACAUUCCAUCAUGUGAUCUAUGUGGAAAUUGGUCAGCAACAAAAUAUAGGGAUUAUUCAAAAGAGCAUUGCAUCCCAGCUUGGCCUGACGCUUGGAUUGGAUGAGAACACCACAUCCAGAUCUGCAUCCCUCUACAACUUCUUGAAGGAAAGGAAGUUUUUAUUGUUGAUGGAUAAUCUUUGGCAACCGUUAGACCUAGUGAAGAUUGGGAUACCACAAGAACAAAUCAGCCCUCACAAUACACAGAUGAUUGUAAUCACAGCACGUGAUCAACAGAUAUGCCGAAGAAUGCAAGCACACUGUCAGGUGUUUGUGUUACAAAAGCUUAAGUUUGAAGGAGCAUGGAGUCUCUUUGAAGCGAAUUCAGGCUGCUAUAGACUAACCAAGAUCAAUGCACAAAUCAGAGUUUAUGCUGAGAUCAUUGUUAACAAGUGUGGAGGCCUUCCACUAGCUCUUAAAAUAGUUGGUCAGGCUAUGGCAUCAAAAGAAAAUGAACAAGAUUGGGAACUUGUUGUGAUGUUGCUUCAACGGUCCCAGUUCAAUGAAGUUCCAGAUGCAAAUGCAGAAACUGACCUAUAUCAUGUAUUGUACAUCAGUUAUGAGCAACUUCCAGACGAAAGGACAAAGCAAUGUUUCCUUUACUUUGCCUUGAUAUUAGAUGAUGGUGUAUAUGUGUCACAUGCAAUACGUCUUGUGAUGGGACAUGGAUUAUUUGAUGAAGAUAAUGCCAAUGAUUUGAGAGUUCGUGCUGUUAUUGGAUGUCUAAAAAGAGCAUGUCUGUUAGAAGAACAUCCAAGAGGGCAAAAUUAUCUAAGCAUGCAUGAUACAAUCAAAGGUCUAGCUCUUUGGAUCGUACAAUGUAAACACGGAGAUGGGCCUAGCAAGAACUGGCUAGUACGUAAAGGAGAUGAAACCAUAAAAUCAGAAGAGUGGUGCACUGCCCAUAGGAUUUCCCUUCAUAUGUUGAAUGAUGUGGUAAUCCCAUGUUCUGUCCCUUGCAGUUGGCUAUUAACUCUCAUAGUUAGAAGAGGCAGUAUUAUUGGCAAUGUUCCUACAGGAUUCUUUAGAACUGCUCCAUCUCUCACCUUCCUGGAUAUAAGUGGCACUAAUAUCCGGGAAAUACCAUCAGAUGUUGGAGAAUUAGUAAACUUGCAGCAUUUUGAUGUUUCAGAUACCCCAAUCCGAUCUAUCCCAAGGGAGCUUCAACUAUUGAAAAAUUUGAGGUACCUAUAUUUAAGAAACACCUACGCACUCGUAACAAUCCCAGAUGGGACCAUAUCUGCUCUAACAAUGUUGAGAGUCCUUGAUUUAUACUAUAGUGGGCCUUUCCCGGCAGACACAACACAUGCACACAUUAAGGAGUUGGAGAGUUUGUCAUGGUUACAAUCUCUGGGGUUCACAGUUAGCGAUUCUAAUUCGCUUCAAAUGAUACUCAGCCCGUCUAAUAAAGCCUCCUUGAAACGCCUUUGUUUGGACGGAGUAGAAGGCUUGCCACACCUAUCUAUUGCACCUGCUUAUUUUAUCAAAACGAGGGUCCAUGAACUCGAGAGGUUGACAUUGAAUGGCAUGAGAAGCUUGAAGGAAUUGUCCAUAGGAGAUACCUUUGUGGAUUCAGAUUGGCACUUCAAGAAACUUGACGAGCUCAAUUUGUGGAACCUGGGAGAGUUGGAAGGUGUCAUCUGGAAAGGGUUGGUGCCUCAUGCUUGCUUUCCUAAACUUCGUGUGCUAUUGGUCUCUGAUUGCCACAGCAUCAUCACAGUCUCAUGGGUCAGGCAGCUCCCAUGCCUAGAAGAGGUAUAUUUGGUUCGUUGCCAUUCAUUGUUGGAGUUGGUGGUAUACGAUGCUGAAGACGAUAGAAUCAAGUCAUCCAUUGCGGAUUCAUUUCCCCGGCUCAAGGUACUUGGACUAAGUGGUCUUUCGAACCUGCACAACAUAUGUGAUGGCACUCUUGCAUUUCCUAGUUUGAAGCGUCUGCUUGUGUACAGUUGUCCUAGGCUGGCUAAACUGCCAUCCGGGUUACACAGAGAAGAGCGUGUGCCAGUGAUACUGGGCAGUCAAGACUGGUGGGGCCAGCUAGUUUGGGAGGAUAGUAGCAUGGAAUCAAAUUUAAACCCAUUCUUCAGAGAACUACCAUCAAAUUUUCAAGGAAAUUUCGGAGAUCUUUUCACGGCAUUAGCUUAUUGGUAA
rnacentral:rRNA from 1 species